GUCGAGAAUCAUUCACAAUGGGGGAAACCCUGAUGGUGUGACGCCGCGUGGAGGAUGAAGGUCUUCGGAUUGUAAACUCCUGUCAUGUGGGAGUAAAGCCGGGUGUUAAAUGCAUGCCGGUCUGAGAGUACCACAAGAGGAAGGGACGGCUAACUCUGUGCCAGCAGCCGCGGUAAUACAGAGGUCCCAAGCGUUGUUCGGAAUCACUGGGCGUAAAGGGUGCGUAGGCGGCGCGGAAAGUCAGGGGUGAACUCCCGGAGCCCAACGCCGGAACUGCCUUUGAUACUCCCGAGCCUGAGAACUGGAGGGGAGACCGGAAUUCACGGUGGAGCAGUGAAAUGCGUGGAUAUCGUGAGGAACACUAGUGGCGAAGGCGGGUCUCUGGACAGUAUCUGACGCUGAGGCACGACGGCCAGGGGAGCGAACGGGAUUAGAAACCCCAGUAGUCC
rnacentral:rRNA from 1 species